rnacentral:rRNA from 1 species
UACGUAGGGUGCAAACGUUGUUCGGAAUCACUGGGCAUAAAGAGCGCGUAGGCGGUCUGACAAGUCCCCUGUGAAAGCCCCCGGCUUAACCGGGGAACUGCAUGGGAUACUGUUGGGCUAGAGUGCAGGAGGGGAGAGCGGAAUUCCUGGUGGAGCGGUGAAAUGCGUAGAUAUCAGGAGGAACACCGGUGGUGUAGACGGCUUUCUGGACCGUAACUGACGCUGAGACACGAAAGCGUGGGUAGCAAACAGG